UGGGGAAUAUUGCACAAUGGGCGCAAGCCUGAUGCAGCCAUGCCGCGUGUAUGAAGAAGGCCUUCGGGUUGUAAAGUACUUUCAGCGGGGAGGAAGGGAGUAAAGUUAAUACCUUUGCUCAUUGACGUUACCCGCAGAAGAAGCACCGGCUAACUCCGUGCCAGCAGCCGCGGUAAUACGGAGGGUGCAAGCGUUAAUCGGAAUUACUGGGCGUAAAGCGCACGCAGGCGGUUUGUUAAGUCAGAUGUGAAAUCCUCGGGCUCAACCUGGGAACUGCAUCUGAUACUGGCAAGCUUGAGUCUCGUAGAGGGGGGUAGAAUUCCAGGUGUAGCGGUGAAAUGCGUAGAGAUCUGGAGGAAUAACGGUGGCGAAGGCGGCCCCCUGGACGAAGACUGACGCUCAGGUGCGAAAGCGUGGGGAGCAAACAGG
rnacentral:rRNA from 1 species